UGCCUGGUACCAUUAGCACUUCAGGAAUGCC
rnacentral:piRNA from 1 species